CACUGCUGACCUAUCACUCCAGCCCCAUCAUUUCUGUUGAUUAAUAUAAAACCUUCCUUUCUUCUUCUUUCCUAACUUCUCUGACAAAGAUUUUCUACGAUGUGGAAUAAGUGAGCUAAGAGUUGACAUCCUUGUCUUAUCCCGAAUGGUAGAGGAAAUGAUUUCCCCAUUCGGUAUGAUGCUGGAGCACUUUGGUGCCAGAUCGCUAUAGCAACUACCACAAAUAUGACUGCCAGGGGGAAGAGCACGCCAACCACAAUGGAGAAGUCUACAACAGAGAGCACAGGAACGCUGUUGAGGACUGAGAAGCUUGCCUAACUUUGGUCUGUCUCCUUUCCUCUUCAAUUCCUUCCUUCCCUCCAUCUUUUCCUCUCCCUCUCCCUCCUUCCUUUCCUCCCUGCUUUUCCUUCUUUCCUCCCUUUCUUUCUCAUUCCUUUCCCUCCCAUACUUUUUCCCUUUACUUUCCAUUUCAGAAAAGAGACAGCCAUGUAGCCCAGGCUGGCCUUAUACUCAUUAUGUAGCCCAGGCUGGUCUCAAACUUACUGUGAUUCUCCUGCCUCAAAUUCCCAUGUAACAGAAUUACAAUGAAAUGUCAUUUCACCUGGUUUGACAUUUUUAUUUGUCACAAAUUUUAGCUAGCUUUUACCAAAUAAACCUGGCUUCCUGGAAAGUCUCUCAUAACUAGGUACCAUGUGACCUGCCACCUCGUUCCCCCAUAUCCACUUGCCCACUGUGAAGGACCAUAUCCUCAAAACUGUAAGCCAGAGAAAGCCCUUCCUUCCAUAUGACACUUACCAAAUAUUUUGUCAGAGAAUCAAGAAAACUAGCAGAGUUGGUUUAAAAAAAAUGUUGUUGAUCAUGAUUGUGGUGCUAAUGUUUAUAAAGAGCAAGUAAAAGAGAAAUUCAUAGGAAACCUUUCAUAGGAAGUGGAUUAAAUGUCUUCUUCCUGAGAACUCUGAGAAGGAAGAAGGGUAGCUUCAGUAACAGGAGAGUGAAGGCUGGAAGACUACAUGAAGAUAUGGGGGUUAAGGAGUAUGGUAAAACAGGAACAAUGGCAUUUUAAAUCCAGCCUUAGAGUGAAAUAAGAAAGAAAUUAAAACCUUGAGAUGCUGUUGCUCCUACUAACAAACAGCUGAGGCAUGAGUAAAAAGCUGAUCGAGAGAAUACUCAAGCUUCGCCUUUGUUCUUUACCCAUUGGCCUAAGUAAUAAAUUCAACCUGGAUCCUU